AAUGAACGCUGGCGGCAGGCCUAACACAUGCAAGUCGAACGGAUCCUUCGGGAUUAGUGGCGGACGGGUGAGUAACGCGUGGGAACAUACCCUUUGGUACGGAAUAGCCUCGGGAAACUGGGAGUAAUACCGUAUGUGGUCGAGAGACGAAAGAUUUAUCGCCAAAGGAUUGGCCCGCGUUGGAUUAGGUAGUUGGUGGGGUAAUGGCCUACCAAGCCGACGAUCCAUAGCUGGUUUGAGAGGAUGAUCAGCCACACUGGGACUGAGACACGGCCCAGACUCCUACGGGAGGCAGCAGUGGGGAAUCUUAGACAAUGGGGGAAACCCUGAUCUAGCCAUGCCGCGUGAUCGAUGAAGGCCUUGGGGUUGUAAAGAUCUUUCAGGUGGGAAGAUAAUGACUGUACCACCAGAAGAAGCCCCGGCUAACUCCGUGCCAGCAGCCGCAGUAACAC
rnacentral:rRNA from 1 species